UUAGAGCUUUUAAACUCAUAAC
rnacentral:piRNA from 1 species